rnacentral:rRNA from 1 species
GUCGGCUCCUAGCUCUCUGCAGCUCUCACAUGGUCGCCCACUGAAGCUAAGCAGGGCUGCACCUGGUCAGUACCUGGAUGGGAGACCACAUGGGAAAGCUAGGUUGCUGCUGGAA